AAAAGAAAAUACACUCACGUGGCAGACCGAUCAUCUUAACCAACGGACAACGAAACGUAAACUGACUGCAACAUGUUGCCAAAAAUGUUAACUACAUUUAACAGGUAGCUGCUGUUUGCACAGGUACCGUUUGCAAAGUAAACAACGACAAUAAUAAGGGUAGGCUACCAACUUUUCGCCUUGCUGACUCACGGCACGUAGGCAACAGAGUUUUGUGUUCUCUUUCACUCUCUCUCUCUUUCUCCUUGAAGAGAAUGUCAGUGUGUGUGUGACGAGUGCAUCGUGCGCAGCUGUUAAACCCUGAGCCGAGUCUGUGAAGCGUACAGCCCAAUGAACCGCCCGCCUUUUGUUGACUACUUUUCUUUAUACAUACAUAGGUAUUGGUAUUGGGCUCAGAGAUUUGCUUACGUUUAUCAAAGAGACAUAUUUAUGUACAUAUUAUAAGUAUAAUAUAUAGCAAACACACAAACAAUCGCACUCACACGUUUUUGAUAAUGAACCCGACGGAGCAACGUCGUCAGCUAGGCUAAAGUCGCAAUUUCUGGACUAUGCGAAAAAGCAAGAACAAAAAGGCAAAUGCCCUCCUACAAUUGCCUUUAAAUCGACUUUACCAACCAACACACUGACAUACAAAUAAAUAAUAACAAGUAGCAUGUACAGUAAAGUCGAAAUAAGCUGAUGGAUGUGACGUCAAUUUGACGAAAAAAGAUAAAUACACAUAUACAAAUGCAAAUGUAGAACGAAAAUGUAAAGUGCAAGUGCAAAUCAAAUGCGGGGAACACGUAUGAAUGGAGGAAUAUUGCGUAGCUGCUGUCUCCUUUGCUCUUUAUUUGAUGUUAUUAAUUCGCCUUUGUCUGCGGCGAAGUUGGCAGUCUUUGUUGCUGUCGCUGUCAUCGCUCUGACAACGGCUGCUGCGUAAGAGAGAGAAAUACAUAUGCAUGUGUCUGUGUAUGUAAACAAAACAAGACGGAAUGGAGCCUUGAAAUCGUAUAUGGUUAAGUGCAACGGAGAUGUGGAUACAAUUAUGGACACAUACAUAAAUACGUGCAUACGUGCACACAACAACAAACAAAAUCAAAACCCAACAUCUAUUUUUAACUAGACACAAACAAUAACAAUAAUAACAACAACAAUACCACGUCAAGCCCGAGCUCGUGUGCAUUGUUAUUAUUAUUGACAAAUACCCCACAUAUAUACACAUACACCAACACGUUCGGAUAGUAUACGUGCGUGUGUAUGUGUGUGUGGUGAGCGCGAUCGCAAACUUACCACCCAGCAAAUCUUCUGUCGAUUUUGGUGUCGUAGACAUUUUGUUUUUGCUCUCUGUGAUGUUUUUGUUGUUGUGUAUGUUAUUAUGGUACGAUACGAUUCGGUUAGAAAUUCUUUUAUUGUUGUGUUAUUCUUGUACUAAACACGUCGUCUAAAGAUAACUCGUUUGUUGUUAUUGCGGCGUACGAAUAAAUUUACGUUGAUUAAACAACUUUUUGCCACAGCGGCCCUUUUAUUGCACAUAUGCCGAGUGUAUCUAAGUAUGAGUGUGUGUCUGUACGUUCGGUUCAAAUGUAUGCGUGAGAAUAUGCGUUUUACUUUUUGCAGUUCCUGUUCCCGUCUGCACUGGUUGCUUUAUUUAUGUUGUAUUUGGCUAGCUGCUGUCGUUUUUGCUCUAUUUUUCUUUAGCUCAAUUAGUAAUGGGUAUUUUGAUUCAACUCAAGUGUAGUAUAAUACACAAUUUUCUUUCUUUUACGCACACGCUGCAAAAAAACCUAAUGCGUAGUUAUUUGAAAGCUGCUGGAAGGCAGCAGUUGAAAACACACAAACGAUUCGUCGAAGAACACGAAGAUAACUGACUGUUGUUGUUCCGCAAGCACAACAAAAAUACGAAGUGGCGUGAGUAAAGCGAGAAAGAGAGGAGAGAAACAUCGAUGGACGCCAAAAUCGAUUUAUUUUAAAAAUCGAUUUGUGUUUUACAGAUCGACCUUUUCAGCAUGUACAUGUUGUAAAUUCGAAUGUUUUUUUAUAUUUUUGCAAAAUUUGUUUCUAUUUAUUAGAAUAUUAGUUUUCUUUCAACAUUUCGAAAAUAUACAUUUUAAUGUCGAUAACAAAAUUCAUAAGUCCGAGAUGGCACGCAAUUUAAAUGCAAAAAGGUGCACAUUUUCAAAUUGAAAAGCAUAUUUUAAAAAUGGGAUUCUUAAAUGGAUAAAUAACUAUUGAUAUUUUACAUUAUUUUAUUAUAAAAACUAUAUACAUAUACUACGCUGUCAAUGCUGAACAUUGCUCAUUGGCGUUACCACAUCGAUGAUAACAUUGCAGAAUACUGUUAAAGGAACAACUUUAUUAACGUGUUUUCAAAAAUAAAUCAAAUGUUUGCAAAUCACUUUUGGCCACAUUUCGUACAAAAUAAAAGUUAUUUCCCAGCACCAUAUCACUGGGCGAAACAUAUAAGUCCUUCUGUGGAUCGUAUUGAGCCCUUCCCAAUAAUUUGAGAAAUUCAUGCCGCUCCCGCAGCCGAAAUUCACGAGAAGCCAAUAGCUCGGAACAUUGGACAAUCUGCUUAUGGCUUAGACCCAUCUCAUUGUGAAUAUAACUGAAGCGUUCAAUGAUGUCGUCGGGAGCUACAAAGACGCGGCUUGUACACAAUCAGCGUUUGUAGCUCUUUGGAACUGAAGCCCAUUUCUUCGCGCAGAGUAAACACAGAUUUGCGCAGGUGCUCCAUGUUGUAGGUAAUUAGACGUGGCUCUUUUGUGGCUAACAGCCGAAUGUCAUGACCACUCAAGAGAAACUCCUUUUGAAAGUAGCCCAAUCGACGAUCAAUGCGACGUGUCGAGAACAUCAACCAAUAUGGAUUCUGGGUGAGAAUGCGUUGACGUGCCUCCACCGAGAAGCGUUUGCUCUCCAGGUACUCCAUGCGUGUCUGCAACGCAUCUAGAUCCUCUUUGAACAGCAGCGGAUUCUUUGUAAUCAAGCGGCCAAAGUCAUCAGGUGCAACGCCUUGAUCUGCGAGGAACCUUAAGUAUGGCUUCACAUCCUUCUCAAAGUCAAGGCGCAGCACAAAAUCCCCGAGUCCUUUGCGCCGCUCAAUGUUGUGCAGAUCGACGCCGAGGCUAAUAAACUGUUGUAACGUCGUUGAAUUGUUCACAUGGGCUGCAAGAUUGAAGCUUGGCACGUGCGCCUCCCGAUUGCCAAAGUCGAGGGCAAUCUCUUUGUGACUUUUUUUCCGUUGCUCCUGUGGCAGCGACUGCUCUGUUGACUCCACUUGAAUUUCAUUUUGUACAGCUCUUAGAGUACGCAGCUGGCGUAAUUGUUGAUUAAUUAUACUACAUUUUGUUCCAAUUUGUGUUUUAUUUUGUAUUUUAGCAAUGUUACGCAGCCAUAAACUAAACAUGGCCAGUG